rnacentral:tRNA from 1 species
GCGAGGUUGGCCCAGCCUGGUUAAGGUACGAGCGAAGUGCGGGUUCAAAUCCCGCACUUCGCA